rnacentral:lncRNA from 1 species
UUGUAUACAAACACAGUGAAGGUGUGCUGUGAAAUUGAAAAAAGUAUGUUAAUGCACAUGCACAUUCUUUGUAUUGUAUACUUCAUCUCCCACUCUUACCUUCACCAAAACUAAGAAAUUUAUUUGAUUGCAGUACUCAAAUUAGUAACUUAUCUACCAAUUUUCCGGAUUCUAAAUUCUUUCCUAGGAAACUUAUUCCAAUAAAUAUAAUGGUAGGUAUUUUAUUCCUGUGAUAAUCUUCAUAUGAACACUAGUACAAAAAGGGGUUUUAACUACUGGCGAAAUUGACUUUUUACGUCGGUUGGUGACCCGUAGUGAAAAGCA